UACGUAGGGGGCAAGCGUUGUCCGGAAUCAUUGGGCGUAAAGCGAGCGUAGGCGGCCCGAUAAGUCUGCUGUAAAAGUCAACGGCUCAACCGUUGAAAGCCGGUGGAUACUGUCGGGCUAGGGUUCGGAAGAGGCAAGUGGAAUUCCUGGUGUAGCGGUGGAAUGCGCAGAUAUCAGGAGGAACACCUAUAGCGAAGGCAGCUUGCUGGGACGAAACUGACGCUAAGGCUCGAAAGCGUGGGGAGCGAACAGG
rnacentral:rRNA from 1 species